rfam:Dipodomys ordii contig_11905, whole genome shotgun sequence.
GGCGCUGUGGCUCAGGUGGUAGAGCAUCAGCCUUGAGCUGAAGAGCUGAGGGACAGCGCCC